UUUUACCAUUACUUGUCUGUGCACGGCAUCAAUCUGCGUGGCUGAAUGGGACAAAGAAUGAAAGUGCCAUUCAUUCUUAAACUCGUGGUGCUGCUGAGGGCUGCCCUGAGGACAGGUGAGGAUUUCCCAGAGUGGUGACAAGGCAGCCACCAGCCUACAGCUCAGUGUACAGGUGUGUCCAAGGUCGCUAGGGCGUAGCACAAUGGUACCACGUGGAAUAUUCCUUCCCUGACAGCAUGAACGACUGAGGGUGUCCUUGUUUUUCCAGAGCUCUCCUUGGUUAACGCUGGAGCAGGAGCAUUUAUCACUUCCACCAGUUAGACCACAUCUAAGAGGCAGGCAUCCAGAAGACAAGAGGCACCACUGAGGGGCCAUUUGUGAACAAACAUGGUUUAAGUGAUUUGCCCCAUCUCUGCAUAGGAAACUGGAGCAUCCAAAUGCAGCGUAAGACCCUGGAGCUCUGGAACAGUUACCCUGGCUGGACUGCCUGCUCAGAGUCACCGUGCCCUUACAAAGGCAUCUGCCAGCUUUUCCACUUCUAAGGGAGAAGAGCUUCGUAUGGAAAUUCUGAGCCAUUCUCAAGGCAUGGCCAUUAUGACAAAGAUAACGAAGAAAGACUGAAAUGUGGAGGAACCAAACCGUGGAGAGCCAAAGGAUUUGUCCAAAUGAUUAUAGGGACCCCAGGUGUAUUCUGUGAGAGCCUUUUUGUCAGUCACUCACCACUGUUGAACUCCCAGCAAUCCCCGAGGCUGGGAUCCUGCAAAGACUUGCUCAUGUAACUAACUUGAUAUAGUUACAGCUUGGGGCCAUUCACAUGGGGAAAGGUCCCUCUCCAUAAAAACAUCAUGGACUGGAAAAUGUUGUAGAUUGUCGAAGCUCCUGUUUUUCUUACCAGGAUUCAUAUGGCUUCCCAGAACCUUCUGGCAAAGGUUGCCAACCAGCCAGAUGCAUGGAUGUUGAGGUACAUCUUACCCUGGUAGGCUGCCACAUGCUGCCAUGUGGUGCCAGUACCAGCACACAGUUCCUGAGGCGUGCUCUCCCAUGCUGGGGUUGGAUAGCUGUGGUGCUGUGAGAUGUCCCAGCUGUAAAGCUUGAGCUUAUAAAGAGGCUGCCUACGUAACACUGCCAGCAUAGAAAGAAUCACAGGCACAUGUCUCAUCAUAAAGAAAACUAGGUUUGUUGUGGGGUAGAAGGACCUUGGUCUGCUCCAUACUUUCUCUGCUGGGGUAUAGAGAAAUCAAGACUUGAAUCUGCCCCGAAGGCCAAGAUAUCCUUAGAACUUUCCCUGGAAGUGAGUUUCAAAAAAGAAACAGUAAAAGAAUAUGCGGAAAAAAAGACGUGCUUGGAAGUGGUGAGUGAAGAUGAAAAGUAAACAGUCUGAGUUAUGGAAGAAGUCUCAGAUGGUGCUUGCUGCUCCCAGGCAGCUUGUUUCUCUUUCUGAUGGUUUGAAAGCAUUUCAAGACAUGACCUCCUGGGUACAAUUAAGGACUUAAUCAAUUGCACAAAUUUAUGAGUAAUGGUUCUUCUCACUAUUUUUGUGAUACAAGUUGGCUGGAUUCUGAAGCCUUCUGCGAACAACAAGAAUUACAGCAAAUGGAGGGGGCAGGAGGACACUGCUGGCCCAAGCAGAACAGAAAGAUGAUACCAAAGUGUGCUUGCACUGGGCUAAGACUCCUGUAUUAGCUCGUGCAGAAUCCUGGUGAUAAAACCUGACAAAUCAAAAGGAACCCGAGAUGGAUUUUUUUGACAAUGUACUCAGUAUUUAGGAGUGUUGUCUCCAAAUCAGGAACACCACGGGUUGUGCCCUCUGAAAGAACUCUUCAGAGUUGCAGCAGUUAAAAACCACACAAUAUUGCUCACAAGAACCAGAGAACAGAAAAAUGGGAAGACUUGAUGUUGUCUGCUGUUCCCACACUCUUCCCACACUUUCCUCUCUGGCCAGCUUUGUGAAGAAACAAGUUUCUCUCGCAGGGAAAGUAACAAUUGAACACAGCAGGGAAGAAAGAGGUUUUGCAAUGGGCUGCAUGAAAUGAUGCAGUAUCACUCAACUACCAUCUGCUAAAACGUUCUUAAAUAGCCUCAUCUUCUUGAGUCAGCAUUUCUAACAUCAAUAAUUUUAUUGGUAAUAACCAGUAAGGUCUGAGAUUUGCUGGAAGAGGAUGGAUGGCUGCACUGGGGAAGGAAAUCUAAAGAGCUUUGAAGUAUGCUGAUAGAAAAAAUGCUGAGGCAACAUCUCAAUUACUGAGUUGAGAAAUCUGCUCUUCUUUGCAGUUCCCAAAUUGUUGGGAAAACAUAAGGAGUGCUGCCUUGAGAGGAAUUACUGGUGUUUUUAAUGCCAUCAGGCUCUUAAGAGCCGGAGCUCUCCACAAAUGCUACAAUCCAGUGUAAGUCUAACACCAGACUUCAAUGUUUCUCUUGAAGAUACUGUGGCUGGCCCAUACUGCUCACAUGAGUUGCUUUCUCUUGCACUGCCUACACUCUCAUUCCAAAAAACCUUUGAGAAGAGGUCUCCCAUUCCCGUCUAACAGGUCAGGGCAAAUCCAAGCCAAUCUUCCAGUCAAAUCCCUUCUAAUCCAGGCCACAUAUCUUUCCUUCUACCCAGGCAAUCCUUCCCAUUUUACCUCCUCUGUUCAGAUCCUUGCACUAAAAAAAAAAAAAAAAAACUUGAGAAAUUGUGUCACAUGAUUAAAAGAAAUUAUUUUCCAUUUUAAAAAGUGGAACCACACAGAAAUUCCAGCACAGGACUUACACAAGAUUGUCUUUCAGCUACUGAAGUGAUGUGAAAUAGUAGCCUGCAGCUGUGUAAGCAAAUUGACCAGCAUUACAGGAAUCCACAAAGAGGUCGAUUGUGAUCUGUGGCUUGCUUUGUGCAGGUAUCGAACUGGAUGGGAACUCACAUUUUGUUUCCAAGUGCAACAAAGCUGUGAGGUGGUUCAUGUGGAAGACUGUGACUGGAAGACUGGAAGACUAAAUAUUGAUGAGAGAGUGCUCUGCUCACUGGCUUUGAGGGCAAAUGUAACAGCACAGUGUAUGUCUGCUUGCCUCUCCACUCCCUCCCUCAGACUGCAAGCAGGGUGCUUUUGUCCAUGCUGCACUGUGGGAGCCGUUAUUAGUCAGGCUGGCAUCUGAUCCAUCCUAGGAGAGCAUCAAUGGCCUGGAGAGAAAUUGCCAGAGAACAUGCUGACAGUUAAACAGUACUGAUGAUAGCAGGAUCAUAUUGGAGCCUAUGCCUUGGUCCUGUUAGCUUGUGAGUUAUAGAGUUAACUUGCUCUCUCCACUGUCUGAGAGCAAGUUAGGUUUGGAAGAGGAAGAAGGUCAGAAAGUAAGCAGUGAAAAUAUGACUGCACCACUGAGCUCAAGGAGAGAUGAGCUGUCCUUUAAAUUGCAACCUGCUACAUUUAUUGGAUUGCCUUUUGGACUGUGGAAUAAUGGGUAAGGUGAUGGAUUCUUCAACUCGUGACUGCCAAAAUAUGUGGCUAAGGACAUAAUCGACAUCUUCACUAAGCUUAUGAGCUGAUGCAGUAGCUGUUUUGUUUAUCUCUGGACUGAUGUGUGGGUCAGUGCUAGAGCUGGGGUUGUUUUCACAGAGAUGAGUGUCUCCAGCUUGUAGUGUCUGUGGUGUCUGGAUGGGCAGAGCAAGCCAGCCUCUGGGCUUCAGCUUACCAGUCCGGUGCACAGCUUGCUCACUACUAGGCACUGAGUACAAGCUGGCAUGGAGGCAGGAUGAGCAACCAAGGUAUUAAAUAACUGUAUAAAUAGUCCUGAGAUAUCUUCAGAGAAAGUCCAUAUUUGAAAAACAGUAUUUGUGUGCUAACAUGGUUCUUUCAGAAGGAGGGCUAUCACCU